AACCUCAGAUCAGGCGGAAUCACCCGCUGAAUUUAAGCAUAUCAAUAAGCG
rnacentral:rRNA from 1 species